CCCCUCUCAGGGUCGCACCUGGAGAGUUUCCAUAACUCUACGAGUCUCGGCAACGGGAGGGAGAGUCAAGUAGAGGCCUACCCGUUCCAUUCCUAGCUUGGGCAGUGGCUAGCAAGUGGAAGGCAAUCUGCUACAAGU